UGGGGAAUAUUGGACAAUGGGCGAAAGCCUGAUCCAGCCAUGCCGCGUGUGUGAAGAAGGUCUUCGGAUUGUAAAGCACUUUAAGUUGGGAGGAAGGGCAGUAAGCUAAUACCUUGCUGUUUUGACGUUACCGACAGAAUAAGCACCGGCUAACUCUGUGCCAGCAGCCGCGGUAAUACAGAGGGUGCAAGCGUUAAUCGGAAUUACUGGGCGUAAAGCGCGCGUAGGUGGUUUGUUAAGUUGGAUGUGAAAGCCCCGGGCUCAACCUGGGAACUGCAUCCAAAACUGGCAAGCUAGAGUACGGUAGAGGGUGGUGGAAUUUCCUGUGUAGCGGUGAAAUGCGUAGAUAUAGGAAGGAACACCAGUGGCGAAGGCGACCACCUGGACUGAUACUGACACUGAGGUGCGAAAGCGUGGGAGCAAACAGGAUUAGAUACCCCUGUAGUCCCUGAGCGGGCUGGCAAGGCGCAU
rnacentral:rRNA from 1 species